UACGUAGGGUCCGAGCGUUGUCCGGAAUUACUGGGCGUAAAGAGCUCGUAGGUGGUUUGUCGCGUUGUUCGUGAAAACUCACAGCUUAACUGUGGGCGUGCGGGCGAUACGGGCAGACUGGAGUACUGCAGGGGAGACUGGAAUUCCUGGUGUAGCGGUGGAAUGCGCAGAUAUCAGGAGGAACACCGGUGGCGAAGGCGGGUCUCUGGGCAGUAAACUGACGC
rnacentral:rRNA from 1 species